rnacentral:rRNA from 1 species
AAACGACUCUCGGCAACGGAUAUCUCGGCUCUCGCAUCGAUGAAGAACGUAGCAAAAUGCGAUACUUGGUGUGAAUUGCAGAAUCCCGUGAACCAUCGAGUCUUUGAACACAAGUUGCGCCCCAAGCCUUCUGGCCGAGGGCACGUCUGCCUGGGUGUCACAA